CAGGUUCCUAGUGGCUUUGAAGGUAUGACUCUUGUGUCACAUGUGUUUCGAUAGGUGACAAAGAGGAGAGAAACUAUGUCUGUGCUCAGUGUUCUGACCUAUGAAUAUCUGAAUGUUCAGUAGCCUAAUAUU
ensembl:snoRNA